rnacentral:rRNA from 1 species
GACGUAGGUGGCGAACGUUAUCCGGAAUCAUUGGGCGUAAAGGGCGCGUAGGCGGCUUGGCAAGUGGAUGGUGAAAUCCCUCGGCUUAACCGAGGAACUGCCGUCCAAACUGCUUCGCUUGAGACCGGGAGAGGUGAGUGGAAUUCCCAGUGUAGCGGUGAAAUGCGUAGAUAUUGGGAGGAACACCAGUGGCGAAGGCGGCUCACUGGACCGGUACUGACGCUGAUGCGCGAAAGCGUGGGGAGCAAACGGG